rnacentral:rRNA from 1 species
AGCGAACGCUGGCGGCAGGCCUAACACAUGCAAGUCGAACGAAGUCUUCGGACUUAGUGGCGGACGGGUGAGUAACACGUGGGAACGUGCCUUUAGGUUCGGAAUAACUCAGGGAAACUUGUGCUAAUACCGAAUGUGCCCUUCGGGGGAAAGAUUUAUCGCCUUUAGAGCGGCCCGCGUCUGAUUAGCUAGUUGGUGGGGUAAAGGCCCACCAAGGCGACGAUCAGUAGCUGGUCUGAGAGGAUGAUCAGCCACAUUGGUACUGAGACACGGCCCAAACUCCUACGGGAGGCAGCAGUGGGGAAGCUUGCGCAAUGGGCGAAAGCCUGACGCAGCCAUGCCGCGUGAAUGAUGAAGGUCGUAGGAUUGUAAAAUUCUUUCACCGGGGACGAUAAUGACGGUACCCGGAGAAGAAGCCCCGGCUAACUUCGUGCCAGCCGCCGCAGUAAAAC